UGCCGGACUGCCCGCCUUCCCUGCGCUCUCCCUUCUGCCCCGCCGACCACGCCCUCUCCACAGGACUAUUGCCACAAAAGCUGUAGGUCCUUCCUUCCGCUCCCUCAAACCACGCUGGCGCUGGCCCUCUCUUCAGUGUCCCCGGCAAUCUCCCAAAGACCCGCGGAGACGCCGUGGGGUGCCCUCCCUGCGACCUCAGUGAGACCCAGGAGCUCCACACACUUGGCUCCUGUCCCCUCCCGUUCUCCAUGCUAUGAAUACUUCUGGAGUCCUGAAGUAGUCCAAGCCGGACCCACUCCCUGGAGAUGGCUGCAGCGAGCACGUGAUGGAAGAAGCCAGAUGAAGCUUGUUAAAUGGUCGCCAAACUCUCUCAUUUUAAUCUUAAAGGUGAGGUCUCCAAUGUACAACCCACAUCGACCUCAGCCAACUCCGGCCUCCGUGUCUCGGAUGGGAUGGUCAAGCAACAUCUCAAAGUGGUGUAAUUAAGCAUGUGCGCUCACAGCUGCGUAGGCACUUCGACCUACCCACGACCAAAGGCAGGUGUGAGGUUAUCAAGCCAACUCAGGUCCUUAACAGGACAGCGGAGCCAUCACAAUCUAAUUCCAUCCUCUCCACCAAGCAGCCUUGCCCAUCUCUGAGCGGUUAGAGAAGGCGGCAAGAACGUCUCCCAAACAGCGCCUACUUCUGGUUAGGUCAAAGUGGCCACUAACCCUCCCAACUAGCCUCUGGCUCUCCGCGGAGGGGCACGAGGCGUUGGAGGCGAGCACACGCCAUCUUUAAACGCUGCACAGUUCGCCUCGGGAGGGGGCCCGCCGGGGGUUAGCCAGGGCGCCAUCUUAGACACCCGAGGGCAUGUGGCACGUUGUCCCCAGGCUCACCCAACCGGGCAAGUGACAUGUGCCGGCCAAGCUCGCUCCGUUAAGGGCGCGGCGAGGGCUUAGGGCCGCCAUCUUUUCUGGAAGGCUCAAAGUGAUGCUCGCUCCACGCUUAUGUGCUGGAACCACCAGGGGUUGGGCUGUGGGGCUUCGUUGGCUAACCGAGCCGCCAUCUUACAGACACCACCGGACCCCCCACACACACACACACACCCGUAAGAGCCGGGCAGAGCCACCCCUCCACGCACAUCCAUCCGUAGCCAGCCUCGAACCGCCCGUGCUGCCAAGCCCCGUCCCUCGGCCCUCCGCUGUUUUCACCCAACGCCACACACAGACACGAGAGCUCUUGGCCAUGCUACUUCCGGUCACCGCGAUCCCCCAAAAACUCGCAACCUCAAACCCAAACCCGCACACAGAAAACCAAAGUCUUUAGUGGCUACUGCGGGGCGCACGGUUGCAUCUGUCCAGUCCCGUCCUUCCUCGGCUCCCCAAUUCUUGACACAACUGGCUAGCAAACGGCCAUGUCACGCAGCAACUGGUAAGAUGGUGGCCACCGGUUGCUCCACACCUUUACACCCACUCGGCUUAAGCGCAGAGUUGGGUUUCUCCUAAGCCAUAGGUUCAUUCACACAGCACCAAACGAUCAGCCUGAGCAGCAAGCGGGAAAAGAACAGAUACAGAUAUUCCACGGAGUGCAGUAACUCACAGAACCAACAUAUUUCCAUCCACCAAAAGCCCCGAUGGGCAAGAGGAAAAAAAAAAAAUUAAAGCAGGUAUCCACAGCCCCGAUGGGCAAAAGUAAAAGAAAAAAAAAAUUAAAGCAGGUAUCCGAGGCCCCGAUGGGCAAGGAAAAAGACUAAACGCGGGUAUCCGAGGUCCCGAUGGACCAAGAAAUACGUUUUAGUUUUUGUUCUUUCGAACAGCAGGUAUCCACAGCCCAGAUGGGCAAAUUUUAGAAGAAGAAGAUGAAGAAGAAGAAAAAGAAGAAGAGAAAAAAUUAUUAUUAUUAUUUUGAAAAAGAAAGUAAGUAUCCACUGCCUCCGCUGGGCAUGGAGUUGUGAGGACACAAAAGUUAUCCAUGGCCCCGAUGGGCAAAAAUAUAGAAAUAGAAUAAAAGAAAGGUAAAUCCACCAAACAGAGGUGUCAACCAAAACGCAUGACGAAGAAAUAGUCCUUAAAAACGAAAAAUUGCAUAAAAAUAUUCCAUUUAUCAAAAAAAAAAUGGAAGUCGGGUCAAGAAAACCUUCCAAGAACCUAUCCAAACUUCAAAAAUAUUUUAUGGAAUUUUGCCAUAUUUUCUCAAAUGCACUGGAAGGCAAGAUGGUCAGGGAACAAAAAAUGUCCCUUCAAGCCCCCUUAGGAUGGAGAGAGACCCCUCACGCAUCUGAGCUCCAUGGGAGGCGAGGUAAUAUGGCUGCACCAAGAAGUUCGCGCCUUUAAAUGAUCAAGGGCGCGGAAGGAGGAGACACCAGAAGAGGAGGGGCUACAAAGGUUGGAAAGUCCCACGCUAGAGCCUCUUUGCAAUCUGUAUUAUUAUAUUUAUGGCUCAGGCAUCUCUCCAGCCCCACCAUCUAUAUUCGUAAAAAUUCAAAUGAACAAUAAAAAUGGCGGUAGAAACAGUCAUUGACUGAACGAGCAAAUUCCCAUUAUGUGGUUGAUAGUAAAGGGCUAGCUUCCCAUUUUACAGCUUCUGGAAAAGGUUACAUAAGUGUUAAAUAAUGCACAGGAGGUCGUACACCAGGUAUAUGCAAAUUCUCAACACAUCUUCGCGAUUUGUUGAAAAUUCUCGAAAUUGAAAAUGUGGGAUGUCCACAUGGUAUAGCGCCUCAUCUUGGAGACUAAAAGUUCUUACGAAUAAAUUAAUGAGCAAAGAGAGUCGUAAUUCUCCUUGGCCCCCACCUUAACGGGUCUUUACCAUUUUUGUACUGAUAACUCCAAACCUUGGACCGAAUAUGGAGGAAAGAAGUUUACUCACUAGCAAUAAUGGAAAAUAAACAACGGUUGAGGCGAGAGCUCAGUGCUAUUGUACUUACAGUAGAGAAACCUUUACUGUACUUGCAGUAGAGAAACCUUUUACUUAGAAAAGUCUCAAAUUUUGUUACUUGAGAAACUGUGAACACCCACCUGAAAGAGAUUGCAAGCCCCAAAUUAGACAAAAUGACUCACAUCCUAUCCUAACUUACCUUUAGGCAUCAAUUGAAUAAUUGUAUGAAACUGUCCAGCUAAGGGACCAUCCAAGUAUCCACAAUUCACUAAUCUGACUAUUAUCAGUGGUUCACAUAGAGAUGGAAAAUCUCUGCUACGAAAUGAAGAAACUCUGUCUCAACAAAAGAAAAAGAAAAUAAUAAAUAAAUGGUAAACACAGCCUGACUGAAGAAGGAGAUGGCAGCUGGGAUCUUUCAAAGGCAUUUCAGCCCAGAAGAAUGAAGAUCUGACUUAAAAGUCAAAGUCCGCUUUCUCUGAGUUUGGUAUCAGAAGAAAAGGUGAAAGAAAAACAACCAGUUUCCUUUAAUUGUGUUUGACUCUGUGUAUAAGUGGUUUGCAGGCUUCAGGUGGACCAGAGAAGUCCAGAUUUACAAGCCAGCAUUAGAACUGAUCCUUCAAUGCCAUUUCUAAACAAUGCACAAGUUUUUCCUUACUUUCCUAGUAGAUGCUGUAUACAUUUUCUUUCUUACUUUUAAUUCUAAGAUUCAUUUCAAUGAACAUUUGUAUAAUGAGUGAGAUUUAAAAAAUAAAAUUUGGUCAGUUUCGCCAUCUUUUGUUAAAGAUCACCCUUCCCCGAUUGUAUGAUGAUUGCAUCGCUGUGAAAAUAAAUUCUCAAGCUGUG